rnacentral:rRNA from 1 species
AGAGUUUGAUCCUGGCUCAGGAUGAACGCUAGCUACAGGCUUAACACAUGCAAGUCGAGGGGAAACGACAUCGAAAGCUUGCUUUUGAUUGGGCGUCGACCGGUCGCACGGGUGAGUAACGCGUAUCCAACCUGCCCACCACUUGGGGAUAACCUUGCGAAAGUAAGACUAAUACCCAAUGACGUCUCUAGAAGACAUCUGAAGGAGAUUAAAGAUUUAUCGGUGAUGGAUGGGGAUGCGUCUGAUUAGCUUGUUGGCGGGGUAACGGCCACAAGGCGACGAUCAGUAGGGGUUCUGAGAGGAAGGUCCCCCACAUUGGAACUGAGACACGGUCCAAAUCCUACGGGAGGCA